GCAGGAUGGUCAGCCACACUGGGACUGAGACACUGCCCAGACUCCUACGGGAGGCUGCAGUCGAGAAUCAUUCACAAUGCGCGAAAGCGUGAUGAUGCGACGCCGCGUGGAGGAUGACGGCCUUCGGGUUGUAAACUCCUGUCAUUCGGGAUCAGCGGCAUGGGGCUUAAUAAUCCUCGUGCUCGAUAGUACCGGAAGAGGAAGUCACGGCUAACUCUGUGCCAGCAGCCGCGGUAAUACAGAGGUGGCAAACGUUGUUCGGAUUUACUGGGCGUAAAGGGUGCGUAGGGGGUAUCGUGUGUCGGAUGUGAAAGCUCGGCGCUUAACGGCGAAAUUGCAUUCGAAACUGCGGAACUAGAGUACCGGAGAGGAGAGCGGAAUUCUCGGUGUAGCGGUGAAAUGCGUAGAUAUCGAGAAGAACACCGGUGGCGAAGGCGGCUCUCUGGACGGAUACUGACCCUGAGGCACGAAAGCUGGGGGAGCAAACAGGAUUAGAUACCCUGGUAGUCCCAGCUGUAAACGGUGUCCACUUGGUGUGGGGGGAGUUGAUCCCCUCCGUGCUGGAGCUAACGCGUUAAGUGGACCGCCUGGGGAGUACGGCCGCAAGGCUAAAACUCAAAGAAAUUGACGGGGGCCCGCACAAGCGGAGGAGCAUGUGGCUCAAUUCGAUGCAACGCGAAGAACCUUACCAGGGCUUGACAUGCAGCUGCACGUCCGCCGAAAGGUGGAAAGCCUUCGAGGGUGCUGCACAGGUGCUGCAUGGCUGUCGUCAGUUCGUGCCGUGAGGUGUUGGGUUAAGUCCCGCAACGAACGCAACCCUUGUGUCUAGUUGCCACUCCCUUCGGGGAAGCACUCUAGACAGACUGCCUGUGAUAAGCAGGAGGAAGGUGGGGAUGACGUCAAGUCCGUAUGGCCUUUAUGCCCUGGGCUGCACACGUGCUACAAUGGUCGGUACAGAAGGAUGCAAUGCCGCAAGGUGGAGCAAAUCCCUAAAACCGGCCCCAGUUCGGAUUGGAGUCUGCAACUCGACUCCAUGAAGUUGGAUUCGCUAGUAAUGGCGCAUCAGCUACGGCGCCGUGAAUACGUUCCCGGGCCUUGUACACACCGCCCGUCACAUCAUGAAAGCCGUCUGCACCCGAAGUCGCUGAUCCAACCCGUCAAGGGGGGAAGGUGCCGAAGGUGUGGGUGGUGAUUGGAAUGAAGUCGUAACAAGGU
rnacentral:rRNA from 1 species